rnacentral:lncRNA from 1 species
AGUAAGUCUGUAACCGAGUGUAUACAGGACCCUCAGAGGCCAGCGGAGGGUAUCUGGUUCCCUGGAACUAGAGCUGUGAGCUGCUUUGUGGGAGCUAAAAAUCCAUCCCAGCUCCUUGGGAUGAGCAGCCAGUGCUCUUAACCACUGAGCAUCUCUCCAGCCUAUGUGUACUUUUGUUGUUGUUGUUGUUGUUUGUAUUUUGUUUUUCAAGAUAGGGUUUCUCUGUGUAGCCCUGGCUGUCCUAGAGCUCACUCUGUAGACCAGGCAGGCGAAUCUCUGAGUUUGAGGCUAACUUAGUUACGUUGUAAGACCCUGUCACAGAAAGAGAGAGAGAGAAAAGACCAUAAAAAGUGUUAAAAAUUGGCCAGGAAACUGCAUGGUAUUAGCCAGACUGACAAAUACCCAACAGACAGGAAAACUAUUACCGUCUAUGAUUCUGUGGCCAAGUUAGACAUUACUAAUGGAUCCCAGCACUGUGUCCUGCUAACCCAAGUGAUGUCUCAGGAUCUUUCUCCAGGGAGCCACAGGACCCCUGUGUAAGAGUCCUGACUGUCCUGGAACUCACGCUGUAGACCAGGCUGGCCUCGAACUCACAGAGAUCCAUCUGCCUCUGCUUCCCAAGUGCUGGUAUUGAAGACACACACCACCACUGCCCAAGAAAUAACUUCUUUAGCUGUUUCUGGUUAGUAGUUAAAAGUCAGAAUGUCAUGUGCCAGGCAGUGGUGGCGCACGCCAUUAAUCCCAGCAUUCGGGAGGCAGAGGC